AUUAGAUGGAAUGAUUCAUUCAUUAAAAAGUGGGCUCGCCUUGGAUUGCUUGCACGUGUUGAUUAACAGCCAGCAGAAAAGGCACCGCCUCAUAGUUGGUAUGCCUUCUUCUUUCCACAUUGAAUUCUAUCCUUCAAACUACUUCUUGGUUUUCUAUGAGGAAUGAGCACCAUUUUCUCUUAUCUGCACUAAGGAGGGGAGGCAAAGGAGAACUGCCUUUGAUUGAAUGAAGAUAAAAUGCAGCCACCAGCGCCAUUAAUGGAAGCCAAGAAUUGGCAAAGAUGUUGUUCCUCAUUCACUUGACCUUACUCUUUUAUAUGCCUUCCACCA